rnacentral:lncRNA from 1 species
AAAGUCAUUUUGGCAUUCCUCCUGUUUCUGAGGGAGAAGAAACUAAUCCCCAACCCCAUGUUCCUAGUUCCUCUAGAACUAGUGAACCGAGUGAAGAUCAAACCUCUUCUCGUAAGAGGACUAGUGCUGUAUGGAAUGAAUUUGAUAGAGUUAUGGUUGAUGGAGUCUGAAAAGCUAAAUGUAAAAAAUGUGCCAAACUUUAUAGUUGUAGUAGUAGUGGGGGAACAGGGCAUUUAAAAAG